UUGAACUUGUCGAACGACUUGCAGGUUAGCUUAUCUGGCAGUCUUAACGUUACGAAUUUAGCUCUCUGCGUCACAGUCGGUAUUAGAUAAUAACUUUAUCGCCGAAGCAUGUGCCACCAAAGAAAUCCAUUAUUUACGUAUGUUUAGUUUUUAUUCUUCGUGAAUGAUUUUUCCUGCGCUUUUCUUUCUGGAACUGCGUUUUCCAUCCCAUUGUUAUUUGUCGGAACUCAUUUGACAAUAAGGAUAAAAGAAUGUUCUAUAGCUUUUUGCGUUUACGCCUUUUUUAAUUGCAAGUAGACCUUUUAGGUAGGGAGAAAGAAGGAAAAAAAAAACCAAGAUUUGGAAUUAUGUUGAAUUUUGCUUCCGUUUAACCUGUAUGUUUUCCUUCUUUAACCAAACAUCUGAUUUGCUCUUGCAAUGGUUGAGAAACUUUCCUCCAAAGCGAAGGAUAUUAGUGUAAAACCAUUCGCCGGUAUUGUUUUGGAGCACUGACGAAAGCAAAAGAAGCUAUUGUUUUAACUCUAGAAAAACCUUUUCAUCAUGGAAUGCAAGAUCGGCAUAUGCUGUACCAUAGACUUUGAGAAGAUGCUGUCUCGGAUAUUGUACAUAGCAGCAAUUUUAAAUGACUUAUUCGGCUUCGACCAGCCAAUUUGCAUAGCCCGCGGGGCGUUGUUUUUUGGAUUGCUCUAUAUAUUUCUCUUCUACUUUAACUUUCACGUGAUUGUGUCUGUUGGACUAGCCUAUGCUAUUUUCUAUCAUGCCGGUGGAGACAAGCAAGCAAAGAUUAUGUACCGGACUAUUGCUCGAGAUCUGAGGAAAUGGACUUCUCCACAAGGAUGACUGUGUUCUGAAAUUUCUGUUACACGUGUAUUUGCCGAAGCUUUUCAUUUAAUCCUUCGAAUUUUAGUCAAGAUCAAUCUUCUUUCCUCUCGUAGAGAUAAAAGUGAAAUGGACAGUAUUAAGGCAGUAUUAAGGAUUUAAUUUUCAAGAGGGGUUAAAGACAAGAAUAAAGUCUUUACACUGCAUGGGAGUGGAUAUUCCUUGUCAUUUUGAUGUUUUUCUUUCUGUGCUCCUUCUUUAGUUGUGAAUUACGAUUAAAGUAGGAUAUGUUAAGUA